rnacentral:sRNA from 20 species
GCGGAGACGCAUGUUUCCGUUCACUCCUCACACCAUCUUCCGCUCGGCGUCAAGUCGGGCGGUU